rnacentral:rRNA from 1 species
ACAGUAGAUAUUGCAUGAUAUCUGCUUGAAAGGGGCAAUUGCUCCACUACCAGAUGGACCUGCGUUGUAUUAGCUAGUUGGUGAGGUAACGGCUCACCAAGGCGACGAUACAUAGCCGACCUGAGAGGGUGAUCGGCCACACUGGGACUGAGACACGGCCCAGACUCCUACGGGAGGCAGCAGUAGGGAAUCUUCGGCAAUGGACGGAAGUCUGACCGAGCAACGCCGCGUGAGUGAAGAAGGUUUUCGGAUCGUAAAGCUCUGUUGUAAGAGAAGAACGAGUGUGAGAGUGGAAAGUUCACACUGUGACGGUAACUUACCAGAAAGGGACGGCUAACUACGUGCCAGCAGCCGCGGUAAUACGUAGGUCCCGAGCGUUAUCCGGAUUUAUUGGGCGUAAAGCGAGCGCAGGCGGUUAGAUAAGUCUGAAGUUAAAGGCUGUGGCUUAACCAUAGUACGCUUUGGAAACUGUUUAACUUGAGUGCAGAAGGGGAGAGUGGAAUUCCAUGUGUAGCGGUGAAAUGCGUAGAUAUAUGGAGGAACACCGGUGGCGAAAGCGGCUCUCUGGUCUGUAACUGACGCUGAG